rnacentral:rRNA from 1 species
GUAGGCGGACGAAUAAGUCAGUGGUGAAAACCUGCAGCUUAACUGUAGAAUUGCCAUUGAUACUGUUUGUCUUGAGUAUGGUCAAGGUAGGCGGAAUGUGUAAUAUAGCGGUGAAAUGCUUAGAUAUUACACAGAACACCGAUUGCGAAGGCAGCUUGCUGGGCCAUUACUGACGCUGAUGCACGAAAGCGUGGGGAUCGAACAGGAUUAGAUACCCUGGUAGUCCACGCCGUAAACGAUGAUCACUCGCUGUUGGCGAUACACAGUCAGCGGCUAAGCAAAAGCAUUAAGUGAUCCACCUGGGGAGUACGGCCGCAAGGCUGAAACUCAAAGGAAUUGACGGGGGCCCGCACAAGCGGAGGAACAUGUGGUUUAAUUNGAUGAUACGCGAGGAACCUUACCUGGGCUUAAAUGUAGAGUGCAUGAGAUGGAAACAUUUCUUUUNUUNGGAACUCUUUGCAAGGUGCUGCAUGGUCGUCGUCAGCUCGUGCCGUGAGGUGUCGGGUUAAGUCCCAUAACGAGCGCAACCCUUAUCGUUAGUUGCCAGCGGGUAAUGCCGGGAACUCUAACGAAACUGCCGGUGUAAACCGAGAGGAAGGUGGGGAUGACGUCAAAUCAGCACGGCCCUUAUGUCCAGGGCUACACACGUGUUACAAUGGCCGGUACAGAGGGCAGCUACCUGGAGACAGGAUGCGAAUCUCAAAAGCCGGUCUCAGUUCGGAUCGGAGUCUGCAACUCGACUCCGUGAAGCUGGAUUCGCUAGUAAUCGCGCAUCAGCCAUGGCGCGGUGAAUACGUUCCCGGGCCUUGUACACACCGCCCGUCAA